CCUACGGGUGGCAGCAGUGGGGAAUAUUGGACAAUGGGGGGAACCCUGAUCCAGCCAUGCCGCGUGUGUGAAGAAGGCCCUCGGGUUGUAAAGCACUUUCAGUGAGGAAGAACGCCUGGUGGUUAAUACCCAUCAGGAAAGACAUCACUCACAGAAGAAGCACCGGCUAACUCCGUGCCAGCAGCCGCGGUAAUACGGAGGGUGCGAGCAUUAAUCGGAAUUACUGGGCGUAAAGCGCGCGUAGGUGGCUUGAUAAGCCGGUUGUGAAAGCCCCGGGCUCAACCUGGGAACGGCAUCCGGAACUGUCAAGCUAGAGUGCAGGAGAGGAAGGUAGAAUUCCCGGUGUAGCGGUGAAAUGCGUAGAGAUCGGGAGGAAUACCAGUGGCGAAGGCGGCCUUCUGGACUGACACUGACACUGAGGUGCGAAAGCGUGGGUAGCAAACAGGAUUAGAUACCCUGGUAGUC
rnacentral:rRNA from 1 species